UGUCAGAUAAAUACAUUGCUAUUGUCCCAUCUCUCUCUCUCUCUCUCUCUCUCUCUCUCUCUCUGCGACUGAGGAGGAGGAAUAGACGAUGGGUGCGUUUGAUCACCUCUCGGAUUUUUGCAGUGUCACAGAGACAAGGAGAGCAUUGCAAAUAAGGAAAAGGAAGCCGCUACAGACUGUCGAUCUGAAGGUGAAGAUGGACUGUGAUGGCUGUGAAAGGAGAGUAAAGCACGCUGUGAGCUCAAUCAGAGCUUGCACAGAAGAGAGUGAACUCCAUUCAAUCGGAUGUAUAUGGAUCGCUGUUUCUGGUAGGAGCACUGACAUACAUCAUCGAAACUGGUGGUCAGGUGUGACGAACGUGAACGUGAACCGAAAGCAGAGCAGGGUGACGGUCACCGGCCACAUCGAGGCAAAGGAAGUGGUGAGGAAGAUAAAGAGCACCGGGAAGAGGGCGGAGGCUUGGCCUUACGUCCCCUACAGCUUGGUCGCGUAUCCUUACGUCGCCGGCGCCUACGACAAGAAGGCCCCAGCCGGCUUCGUUCGGAACGUGGCGCAGGCGGUGGCGAGCCCCAGUGCGCCGGAGGAGAAGAUCUCGUCGCUCUUCAGCGAUGAGAACCCGAACGCAUGCACUGUGAUGUGAAUGAACUCACGUACUGUUGUUAUCUUCUUGGAUUAGUAUGCACGUAAAUAGGGAUGCAGGUAUAUACCAAUGGAUGUCAAGUCCACAUCAUUGAGGGAAGUGGAUGUGAAGACUUGGUUUCACUGGUGGGAAGUGACUGGAGCAAGAAGAAGAACUUGAUGCAUAGAGUGGCAUCUCUCCCAACCAGUCUUCCUUGUGAUGAUGGCACUGUGUAAUCUUGAUUCUGCCACCAGAGAGUUGCUGAAGGAAUGAUUUCAGACAAGCAAAUGCCUGCUUUAUUCUAUAUUCCUUUUUGCCAAAGUUGAACAUUUCAA